rnacentral:rRNA from 1 species
CCUACGGGAGGCAGCAGUGAGGAAUAUUGGUCAAUGGACGAGAGUCUGAACCAGCCAAGUAGCGUGAAGGAUGACGGCCCUAUGGGUUGUAAACUUCUUUUAUAGGGGAAUAAAAUGUGCCACGUGUGGGAGGUUGUAUGUACCAUAUGAAUAAGGAACGGCUAACUCCGUGCCAUCAGCCGCGGUAAUACGGGGGAUCCGUGCGUUAUCCGGGUUUAAUGGGGUUAAAGGGAGCGUAGGUGGUUUGUUAAGGCCGUUUUGAAAGUUUGCGGCGCAACCGGAAAAUUGCCGUUGAAACUGGUAUUCUUGAGUACAGUAGAGGUGUGCGGAAUUCGUGGUGUAGCGGU